GGACUACCAGGGUUUCUAAUCCUGUUUGCUCCCCACGCUGUCGCGCAUCAGCGUCAGCAACUGCCCAGCAGACCGCCUUCGCCACCGGUGUUCUUCCGGAUCUCUACGCAUUCCACCGCUACACCCGGAAUUCCAUCUGCCUCUACAGUGCUCGAGCACGGGAGUAUCGACGGCCGACUCGGAGUUGAGCCCCAAGCUUUCACCGUUGACUUCCCGCGCCGCCUACGCGCCCUUUACGCCCAGUGAUUCCGGACAACGCUCGCACCCUCCGUAUUACCGCGGCUGCUGGCAC
rnacentral:rRNA from 1 species